AGUAGAGACGGGGUUUCACCAUGUUGGUCAGGCUGGUCUCGAACUCCUGACCUUAAGUGAUCCGCCCACC
rnacentral:miRNA from 1 species